rnacentral:tRNA from 1 species
GGCUGUACAGCUCAGUGGUAGAGCACGUGCUUAGCAUGCAUGAGGUCCAGGGUUCAUUUCCCAGUACCUCCU